rnacentral:tRNA from 1 species
GCACCGCUAGCUCAACUGGCAGAGCAGCUGACUCUUAAUCAGCAGGUUUAGGGUUCGAGUCCCUGGCGGUGUA